rnacentral:rRNA from 1 species
GAUGAACGCUGGCGGCGUGCCUAAUACAUGCCAGUCGAGCGAACAGAUGAGGAGCUUGCUCCUCUGACGUUAGCGGCGGACGGGUGAGUAACACGUGGAUAACCUACCUAUAAGACUGGGAUAACUUCGGGAAACCGGAGCUAAUACCGGAUAAUAUAUUGAACCGCAUGGUUCAAUAGUGAAAGACGGUUUUGCUGUCACUUAUAGAUGGAUCCGCGCCGCAUUAGCUAGUUGGUAAGGUAACGGCUUACCAAGGCAACGAUGCGUAGCCGACCUGAGAGGGGGGGUCGGCAACACUGGAACGGAGCCACGCCCCAGCCUCCGCCGGGGGGCACAAGAGGGGAUUCUUCCGAAAGGGCCGAAAGCGGGACGGAGCACCGCGGCGGGAGGGAUGAAGGUCUCCGGAUCGUAAAACUCUGUUAUUGGGGAAAAACAAAUGUGAAAGAAACUAUGCGCUUCUGGACGGUACCUAAUCAGAAAGCCACGGCUAACUACGUG